rnacentral:lncRNA from 1 species
AGGGUAAACUUGUAAUAUUGACUAAAUCCUUCGGGCGCUUUCUUUUUGUUGGAAAACCUCCCUUGAGCCGACCCAACUCCUCAUCUUCUUCCUUCCACCAAGCCAAAAGACUCCCUCUCUUCUUCCUCAAAUCCAAGUUUUUCCCAAAAACUCUUCUCCCACCAUCUCUCACCCUCUAAAUCGCCCUCUUGGAACCCAGCUCCUCCCUUUUCUCCUUCUUCAUUUGGAGCGAGUCGAGCUUGCCCUAGACUCUACCCGUCUUCUCCAAAUCGACACUCCUCUUCUCCAAAAUCAUUAUCCUUCCCCUAAAAACCUUUUAUCUCUCCACAUAUUUUGCUCUCCU